rnacentral:rRNA from 1 species
UACGGGGGGGGUAAGCGUUGUUCGGAAUUACUGGGCGUACAGGGCUCGUAGGCGGCCGACUAAGUCAUACGUGAAAUCCCUCAGCUUAACUGGGGAACUGCGUCUGAUACUGGAUGGCUUGGAUCCGGAAGAGGGAUGCGGAAUUCCAGGUGUAGCGGUGAAAUGCGUAGAUAUCUGGAGGAACACCGGUGGCGAAGGCGGCAUCCUGGGCCGGUAUUGACGCUGAGGAGCGAAAGCCAGGGGAGCAAACGGG